UACGAAGGGGGCUAGCGUUGCUCGGAAUUACUGGGCGUAAAGGGCGCGUAGGCGGACAGUUUAGUCAGAGGUGAAAGCCCAGGGCUCAACCUUGGAACUGCCUUUGAUACUGCGGGUCUCGAGUCCGGGAGAGGUGAGUGGAACUGCGAGUGUAGAGGUGAAAUUCGUAGAUAUUCGCAAGAACACCAGUGGCGAAGGCGGCUCACUGGCCCGGUACUGACGCUGAGGCACGAAAGCGUGGGGAGCAAACAGG
rnacentral:rRNA from 1 species